rnacentral:tRNA from 1 species
UUCUGUGGCUUAGUUAGUUAAAGCGCCGGUCUAGCGAAUACGGAGUCGUGGGUUCGGUUCCCACCAGAA